AUGGGUGUAGUUCAGUAGUAAGAGCAUAUGCUUAACAUGUAGGAGGCUCUGGGUUCAGUUCCCAGCACCAAAA
rnacentral:tRNA from 1 species